CAGUAGCCGCGGUAAUACGGAGGGAGCUAGCGUUAUUCGGAAUUACUGGGCGUAAAGCGCACGUAAGCGGCUUUGUAAGUUAGAGGUGAAAGCCUGGAGCUCAACUCCAGAAUUGCCUUUAAGACUGCAUCGCUUGAAUCCAGGAGAGGUGAGUGGAAUUCCGAGUGUAGAGGUGAAAUUCGUAGAUAUUCGGAAGAACACCAGUGGCGAAGGCGGCUCACUGGACUGGUAUUGACGCUGAGGUGCGAAAGCGUGGGGAGCAAACAGGAUUAGAUACCCCGGUAGUCCCUGUCUCUUAUAC
rnacentral:rRNA from 1 species